rnacentral:rRNA from 1 species
GACGAACGCUGGCGGCGUGCCUAAUACAUGCAAGUUGAGCGCUGAAGGUUGGUACUUGUACCAACUGGAUGAGCAGCGAACGGGUGAGUAACGCGUGGGGAAUCUGCCUUUGAGCGGGGGACAACAUUUGGAAACGAAUGCUAAUACCGCAUAAAAACUUUAAACACAAGUUUCAAGUUUGAAAGAUGCAAUUGCAUCACUCAAAGAUGAUCCCGCGUUGUAUUAGCUAGGUGGUGAGGUAAAGGCUCACCAAGGCGAUGAUACAUAGCCGACCUGAGAGGGGGAUUGGCCACAAUGGGACUGAGACAAGGCCCAAACUUCUACGGGAGGGAGCAGGAGGGGAUCUUCGGCAAUGGACGAAAGUCUGAACGAAGAACGGCGGGUGAGUGAAGAAGGGUUUCGGAUCGUAAAACUCUGUUGGUAGAGAAGAACGUCGGUGAGAGUGGAAAGCUCAUCAAGUGACGGUAACUACCCAGAAAGGGACGGCUAACUACGUG